rnacentral:rRNA from 1 species
UACGUAGGUGGCAAGCGUUGUCCGGAUUUACUGGGCGUAAAGAGCGCGCAGGCGGCCGAGUAAGUCGAAUGUGAAAGCCCCCGGCUCAACUGGGGAACGUCAUUCGAUACUGUUCGGCUCGAAGAUAGGGGAGGGAAGCGGAAUUUCAGGUGUAGUGGUGAAAUGCGUAGAUAUCUGAAGGAACACCAGUGGCGAAGGCGGCUUUCUGGCCUAUUCCUGACGCUGAGGCGCGAAAGCUAGGGGAGCGAACGGG